rnacentral:rRNA from 1 species
GUAGGUGGCAAGCGUUGUCCGGAAUUAUUGGGCGUAAAGCGCGCGCAGGUGGUUCUUUAGGGGUCUGAUGUGAAAGCCCCCCCGGGCUCAACCCGGGGGAGGGUCAUUGGAAACUGGGGAACUUGAGUGCAGGAGAGGAAAGUGGAAUUCCACGUGUAGCGGUGAAAUGCGUAGAUAUGUGGAGGAGCACCAGUGGCGAAGGCGACUUUCUGGCCUGUAACUGACACUGAGGCGCGAAAGCGUGGGGAGCAAACAGGAUUAGAUACCCUGGUAGUCCACGCCGUAAACGAUGAGUGCUAAGUGUUGGGGGGUUUCCGCCCCUCAGUGCUGCAGCUAACGCAUUAAGCACUCCGCCUGGGGAGUACGGUCGCAAAGACUG